rnacentral:rRNA from 1 species
UACGUAGGGUGCGAGCGUUGUCCGGAAUUAUUGGGCGUAAAGGGCUCGUAGGCGGUUUGUCGCGUCGGGAGUGAAAACACCGGGCUUAACUCGGUGCUUGCUUUCGAUACGGGCAGACUAGAGGUAUGCAGGGGAGACUGGAAUUCCUGGUGUAGCGGUGAAAUGCGCAGAUAUCAGGAGGAACACCGGUGGCGAAGGCGGGUCUCUGGGCAGUAACUGACGCUGAGGAGCGAAAGCGUGGGGGAGCGAACAGG